UAACAAGGCCCAAGCUUCAUUUGCUGAAGGU
rnacentral:piRNA from 1 species